rnacentral:tRNA from 12 species
GGGGAUAUGGCGAAAUCGGUAGACGCUACGGACUUAA